CUCAGUCGAUUGACAGGGUCCUCAACAAAGGAGGUGCCCAGAGAAGCUGAGAAGCUUCUGGGCCGGGUUGUAAUGCCCACAGCCAGGUCCCUGCUGAAGAUCCCCUUUGAGCGGUCUUCUCAGAGCAGCGGGUCUGUGAGCUGGAGCCCUCCCCUUAGACUGGGAUGCCAUCUAAGGAGACUUCCCAGGACUGGGAGUGCCUCACCUCCUCCUGUGGUGAGUGGUUAUUUACUGGAUAUACCCUUGAAUGAGUCCUUGCCUAACUCAGGCAAGUGUGAACCUUCACCUAACCCAGGUGUACCUGUUAUAACUUUUUACAAGAUGCAAAAUAUUUCCAUCCUCAUGUUCAGCCAUUUCUUUAGCCUUUUUAUUUCAAGAAUAGUGGCAUGACUCCAGCUACAUUUUCUGUUCUCUGCACCUUCACUCAGGAAUAAACUCAUGCUCUCCUCUCACUCCCAGAGAAUUAAACCAGAAUUUUCUAAUCUGGAAUGAAAUUUAAGGAUUUCUUUCCCUGAACCACUGUCAGAGACUGAAAAGUAUAAUGUCUCAAACAUUGUGGCAAAACCAGUUCAUCCAGCCGAAGGAGAUGGGUCAUCCCUAGGAGCAGGAGAUGGGACAAAUUGUGAUAAGGUGAAUUGUGAUUACAUAUUCACAGCAAGCUAAUGAACCACAGACAAAGGCUGACUGGCUGACACAGGAGUUGGGGAAUGUGUUGAAAGAUACAUAGCUCCAUCUUCUGAUAGGCCCAGCACGCCACUAAGGGAAAAGACCCAGACUGCCCAGACCCUUCAAGGUGAUCCAUGACCCUUGUGGACUUUUCCAUCUUUUGCAAUAACCCCUGAGUAAUGACUGCACAGAGGAUCAAAGGUUAUGCAAGCAGGCAAUCCAGAAGACUAUAAAAAGCCCACCUGUGCAAGCAGUGUUGUGGUGCCACACCCAACAUCCUGAGGACCACUCCACCAACCAGCCUCAUCACAGGAACUGAACAAGACACCGGAGGAAGCCACACAUUGCUUGAUUGAAGACUACAAACCCCAUCAUACACAAAGCAGAGCCAUAGGAUGUCUGUCCUCGUAGUGAAAUGGAUGGAUAGAGCUGAAUAUGCCAUCUCAUCAACAUAACAGAAUGAAGUGAUACACAUUUAGUGAUACUGAGCGGCCGAGACUGAAGCCUCCAGGAAUUCUGUCAUGAGAUGGAACAAAAGUGUCAACAGAAGAGAAAAAUAUCAAACAUGGCUAAAUAGUCAAUUCCCUCUGACUUUUGCCUGGCAUGUGUACUUCUGCGAGUUAUUUGUGGAGCUGCAUCGUGGAAUUUCCCAUUCUGACUACAUCCUUGUACAUGGGAACUAUGGGUGUUGCCUGCUGACUCCCUGUGUGGGCACUGUGAAGUACAACUGGAAGUGCCUUGACAGUUAUUUUAGAUCUCUCUCACUCAUUCUUAAGAAGGGAGCACGUGCUUAAUAAGACAAUUUUAUAUUAUAUUAAAUUAUGGCCUUCAUCUGUGCCAUCCUUUACCAAUAGGUCCUGCAGCUGUCUGUAAAAUGGAUGAUUCUUGUACUCUGACAUGAACUGUCUGUUUUGGUGUGCUUCCUCAAAAGAUAUUCUAUCUCUCUUUACAUGUUGGAUUACUCCUUUUUCCGUUAGAUAAUAUUUGUUUGUUUAGAGAAACUAUUUUCAGUAAAAUAAAAGAUGGUUAAAUGUCUCAAA